rnacentral:lncRNA from 10 species
CUUCUGAGGAGAAUCUUGUCCAAGAUAGUCCCUUUACAAGUAUCGUUCCCACUUCUGGAGAAUAUUUUUCCUUUCCUUCAAACCUACUUGGGAAUUCUUCACCAUCCUUUAAAGCAAACCUUCUUAAAAUUUAAUGUCAUACAAAUGACCAGAGAUCUUAUUAAAAUAGAGAUCCUGAUUUGGUAUGUCCUGAAUGGGAUCUGAGAUUCUGAAGUUCUAACAGGCUUCUGGAAAAGGCGAAUACCCCCAGUUUGAAAACCACACUUUGAGAAGGGGAAAAUAAUGUGACUACCUCUGGCCAAAGCACUGAAUUCCACUUCAAGACCCACCUUUUCCCUCAGCUACAAUGACUGGCACUGUUUUAUAAAGUGGUUGUUUUAUCAGCCUGGGAUCUGGCACAAGGACAGUGAUGAUCAGAGGCCCAGCUGAGCCUCAAGCACACAUAACAUGCAUUUUCAACUCCAAGCCCCUGAGAUUUGGGAGCUGCCUAUUAAGAAGCGUAACCUAUUCCAUCCUGACUAUUUCACAGAGGGAACAGUUAAAAGAAUAAUGAGAUAUUAUUUCAAAUAAGGAAAUUAUGGAGAAGUUUAAAUGACAGGCAAACAUAUUUGAAGUUUAUUAAAUAAAAAGUCAGUAGGAAAUUAUUGAAGCUUUGUGAAGAGGGAAAGCAAUUAGUCAAUGGAGAGUUUUAAAAUCAGUGUGGUCACAGCAGUAGGACAAAUUAAAGAAGGAAAGAACAGAGAUAUGAAGACUAACUAGUUAACAGUCCAUUGCAAAAUCCCAGUGAAAAAUGGUAAGCUCUCUGAACAGAGAAUGAUUGAAAAUUGAAGAAGAGAGAGGGAACAGUGAGAAAUGAAUCUAGCAUUUCAAGCCUGAGUACCUGGGAGAAAUGUAGGACUAUAAAUAACAGAUAUAGAAUAGCGCAAUUAAGAGGACUGUCUAUUUCUGUUGAUAAUAGUAUCAUUUUCUUAAAUUUGUUUUGACAAAAAUUAUUUUAGAUAUGUCAGGUUUGGGGUGACAGACAGUGAGUCAGAUAUGUUGAUGUAUCCAACAGGAAAGCAGAGAUAUGGAAAUACAGAAAAGUUCAAAAGUCAGUGGUAAAGAAUUGGACCUGGUAGCCAUCUGCGUACGGGCUGGCUUGGGUAGUUGUCUAGAAGUGGUGAUGUUAUCCAAGAUAGAAACUGCACAAUGAGAAACAGUUGCGGGGUUGUAUCCAUCAGGGUUUAGUGUAGAAAACAGAAUUUACAGAUGAGGAACUGCUCUUUCCACCCUGCAGUAAGGGCACUGCUGCCAACAUCACAUCUGGGGCAUUCAGAGCGCCUGAUGCCAGAAGUUUUGUCUGCUGGAGCUGCUUUUCUGCCCACAGCACUAUAAAAAAGAAUCACCUCCGUUUUCCAAAUAGUUCGUGAGUGCAUUUCAUUGGCACAACCUUAAUCACAUCCAGGACCCUAGCCACAAAAUGUCUUUAAAACAUAGUGUUUAGACUAAUAGCCCCUAUAAUAUUAUGUUAAUGGUGGAAGAGUGUAGGAACAUACAAAGGAGAUACAAAUGGAUGCUGAUUGCAAGUAGACAAUGCAAAGUCCCCAUGGGACAUCAAAGUAGAGAAAUCUAACAUCCCUUAGGUAAAUUAAAAAUGAAAUUCUGGGACCUUAGAGAAAGAUGGGGAAAUAUCAACAUUUAGAUCAGGGGUGUCCAAUUUUUUGACUUCCCUGGGCCACUUUGAAAAAAUUGUCUUGGACCACACAUAAACUACGCUAACACUAACAAUAGCUGAUGAGCUAAAAAAAAAAAUCACAAAAAAAGUCUUAUAAUGUUUUAAGAAAGUUUACGAAUUUGUAUUGGGCAGCAUUCAAAGCCAUCCUGGGCCGCAUGCACCCCACAGGUCGUGGGUUGGACAAACUUCACUUAGAUGAUAAGUUGAAGCCGUGGAACUAAUUGAGAUUGUUUAGAGAGAGGAUUUAGAUCAUUUGAGGUGUUAAAUCCCCAUCCUGGUGACCACAGUGUUUAAAAAGAAAGCCUAUGUUUAAAAGGCAGGAAGAAAAAGCUGCAUCAAGGGAAAUUUGCUCCAUAUCAGGCUUUAGUAGCCCAUUUCUGACAAGGAAUUUCCUAAUACUGUACUUAAAAUACCGUAGAUUAACCCUAUGUAGUGAAUUAAAAGAAGAACAUGUGAAGGUGUAUGUGGUUUGAAACAGGAAGAACUGAAUGGAGCUGAUAACCAGUUAGAAUUAACCAGUUAAAAUAUAGUAAUGUAUACAAUUUCCCAGUGUGAAUGUAAAUAUGCCAUGCAUGUUACCUGAAAAUUAAUAUUAAGCUCUGAUAAGAUUCUUAUUUCUAAAAGUUGACACUGUUGUAUUGCCUUUAAAUUUGAAGGUGAGGUAUAAAAUUAAAACCUAUACUAUUUUUUCAUAGUUUUCCACUUGGACCAAUUUCACAACUAAAUUGUUUUUUGAAAAAGUACUUUUUAAAUGAGCACUUAUUCUGUUCAAACAGUAUUAGGCAUUAUGUGGGAUCCAAAGAUAAGACAUUGUCCCUCCUGUCAAAUGCACCAAAAUUGAUUAAAUUAAGAUGUAACUUGGGGUCAUGCUUAUUGCUAGAGCAAUUUUUUCAUUUUUCCUUCUUAUUUUCAGAGAGAAUAAAGUCUCCUUCUACUGAGGUAAUAGCUACCACAAAGAUUUUAUAACUUAAACUGUUUUGUAAUAAUUUUUAUUUCUCUAUA